GAUCUUCCAAUUCGUUCUCUUAUUUUCUCCUUCUUGAAUUAGAAUAUAUCUGUACUUAUUUAUUUCUCUGUCAGGAACAAUGACUGCAACCAUGUUGAAGGUAGUCAUUUUUCUUGCAUGCCUGCUGAGUCUAAUUGUGGCUGUGCCUAUGGAGCAUCAGCGCUUUGCCCGUUCUGACUCUGAUGAGACAAGCUCAACUUCUCUCUCGCUGACCAACCUCAUCACUCUUCUACAAGCAAUUAUAGCUGCAACUGCAGCAUAAAGCCUGGAAUGUUAACAGUGACCAGUCAGUUCCAAACCAGCAUUUCUGACUAGAAAGGUUUUUCACUCAACAUUCAGGAAAACAUUUUUUCCCUCUGCUUGUUGGCAUGACAAAUAAACCUUAAGAAUGAAAA